rnacentral:rRNA from 1 species
GUUACUGCUAUCGGAGUUCGAUUAAGCCAUGCGAGUCUAAAGGUUUCUUCGGAAACCUUGGCGGACUGCUCGGUAACACGUGGAUAACCUACCCUUGGGACUGGAAUAACCCCGGGAAACUGGGGAUAAUACCGGAUAGAUCAGGGAUGCUGGAAUGCACCUUGAUCCAAAGCUCCGGCGCCCAAGGAUGGGUCUGCGGCCUAUCAGGUAGUAGUGGGUGUAACGUACCUACUAGCCAACGACGGGUACGGGUUGUGAGAGCAAGAGCCCGGAGAUGGAUUCUGAGACACGAAUCCAGGCCCUACGGGGUGCAGCAGGCGCGAAACCUUUACAAUGUGCGAAAGCAUGAUAAGGGAACUCCGAGUGCCAGUAUCUAAUACUGGCUGUCCUUGUGCCUAAAACGCACAAGAUAGCAAGGGCCGGGUAAGACCGGUGCCAGCCGCCGCGGCAACACCGGCGGCCCGAGUGGUAGCCGCUAUUAUUGGGUCUAAAGGGUCCGUAGCCGGUUCGAUAAGUCCUCUGGGUAAUCUGGUUGCUUAACAAUCAGACUGCCAAGGGAUACUGUCGAACUUGAGACCGGGAGAGGUAAGAGGUACUUCAGGGGUAGGAGUGAAAUCUUGUAAUCCCUGGGGGACCAUCUGUGGCGAAGGCGUCUUACCAGAACGGGUCUGACGGUGAGGGACGAAAGCUGGGGGCGCAAACCGGAUUAGAUACCCGGGUAGUCCCAGCCGUAAACGAUGCUCGCUAUGUGUCAGGUACGGUGUGACCGUAUCUGGUGCCGUAGGGAAGCCGUGAAGCGAGCCACCUGGGAAGUACGGCCGCAAGGCUGAAACUUAAAGGAAUUGGCGGGGGAGCACUACAACGGGUGGAGCCUGCGGUUUAAUUGGAUUCAACGCCGGG